GACGGAGGGUGCUAGCGUUGUUCGGAAUUACUGGGCGUAAAGGGCGCGUAGGCGGCCUGGUCAGUCGGAUGUGAAAGCCCGGGGCUCAACCCCGGAACGGCAUCCGAGACGGCCAGGCUGGAGACCGGGAGAGGAGAGUGGAAUAGCCAGUGUAGAGGUGAAAUUCGUAGAUAUUGGCUGGAACACCGGUGGCGAAAGCGGCUCUCUGGCCCGGUUCCGACGCUGAGGCGCGAAAGCGUGGGGAGCAAACAGG
rnacentral:rRNA from 1 species